rnacentral:rRNA from 1 species
UACGUAGGGGGCAAGCGUUGUCCGGAUUUAUUGGGCGUAAAGAGCGUGUAGGCGGUCAGGUAGGUCCGGUGUGAAAACUCGAGGCUCAACCUCGAGACGCCGAUGGAAACCAUCUGACUAGAGUCCGGAAGAGGAGAGUGGAAUUCCUGGUGUAGCGGUGAAAUGCGCAGAUAUCAGGAAGAACACCCGUGGCUAAGGCGGCUCUCUAGUACGGUACUGACGCUGAGGCGCGAAAGCGUGGGGAGCAAACAGG